rnacentral:rRNA from 1 species
UACGAAGGGGGGCUAGCGUUGCUCGGAAUCACUGGGCGUAAAGCGCACGUAGGCGGAUUCUUAAGUCAGGGGUGAAAUCCUGGAGCUCAACUCCAGAACUGCCUUUGAUACUGGGAGUCUCGAGUCCGGGAGAGGUGAGUGGAACUGCGAGUGUAGAGGUGAAAUUCGUAGAUAUUCGCAAGAACACCGGUGGCGAAGGCGGCAUCCUGGACCGAGAUUGACGCUGAGGCGCGAAAGCCAGGGGAGCAAACGGG